rnacentral:rRNA from 1 species
AUCUGGGCGGCGGAAUUCAGGAUGAGCGGCGGGCCUCGUGCACGUCCGAUCGUUUGAUAUUUCCGUCGCCGUGGCAGACGUCGCGACCUGUUCGUCGUCGGUCCCUGCUCGGAGGAAUCGCGAUCGAGCUCGUUGUGCGGUGCGUUUCGGCGCGCCGUACGGCGAAGACGCGGAUCUCUGGCCGACGACGGACAGUAAGCAACGGUGUCCGAUGCCGUGUCUCGCACUCGGCGUCGGUGCCGGUCAGCGACGAUUUCUUCGGGCCUCUUUCCGACCCGUCUUGAAACACGGACCAAGGAGUCUAACAUGCGCGCGAGUCGCGGGGUUUCGAGCGUGCUUCGGUGCGCUCGUCACUUCCGAAACCCGUACGUUGAAGGCGAAAUGAAAGUGAACAGGGAAGAUGGCGUUCCGAGUCCACGUACCGUGAUCGAGUAUCGCGGCCGGACGCCCGCAUUCCCGGGGCGUCUCAAUGGCUCGUCGCGGAUGCGGACGGUCGUCUCUCGGGGCGGCCGUCGGUCUGCGUCGGACCGA